rnacentral:rRNA from 1 species
UAUCAACGGCAUCACGAGGGUUUUACUGUCUCCUUUUUCUAAUCAGCGAAACUAAUCUCCCCGUGAAGAAGCGGGGAUAUUUAUAUAAGACGAGAAGACCCCAUGGAGCUUCAAACCCAAUUACACCCCCCCCCCCCC